UAAUGUAUGGGGAUCUGCCCGAUAGAGGGGGAGUAAUACUGGAAACGGUGACUAAUACCGCAUAAUGUCUACGGACCAAAGCAGGGGCUCUUCGGACCUUGCACUAUCGGAUGAACCCAUAUGGGAUUAGCUAGUAGGUGGGGUAAAGGCUCACCUAGGCGACGAUCUCUAGCUGGUCUGAGAGGAUGAUCAGCCACACUGGGACUGAGACACGGCCCAG
rnacentral:rRNA from 1 species